AACGAACGCUGGCGGCAUGCCUAACACAUGCCAGUCGAACGAUGCUUGCGGGCAUAGUGGCGCACGGGUGCGUAACGCGUGGGAAUCUGCCCUUGGGUGCGGAAUAACAGUGAGAAAUUGCUGCUAAUACCGGAUGAUGUCUUCGGACCAAAGAUUUAUCGCCCAGGGAUGAGCCCGCGUAGGAUUAGCUAGUUGGUGGGGUAAUGGCCUACCAAGGCGACGAUCCUUAGCUGGUCUGAGAGGAUGAUCAGCCACACUGGGACUGAGACACGGCCCAGACUCCUACGGGAGGCAGCAGUGGGGAAUAUUGGACAAUGGGCGCAAGCCUGAUCCAGCAAUGCCGCGUGAGUGAUGAAGGCCUUAGGGUUGUAAAGCUCUUUUACCCGGGAUGAUAAUGACAGUACCGGGAGAAUAAGCUCCGGCUAACUCCGUG
rnacentral:rRNA from 1 species